rnacentral:rRNA from 1 species
AGCGCGCGCAGGCGGCCUUUUAAGUUGGAUGUGAAAGCCUAUGGCUCAACCAUAGAACUGCAUCCAAAACUAUCAGGCUAGAGUGUGGGAGAGGAAGAUGGAAUUAGUCGAGUAGGGGUAAAAUCCGUAGAGAUAACUAGGAAUACCAAAAGCGAAGGCAAUCUUCUGGAACACUACUGACGCUGAGGCGCGAAAGCGUGGGGAGCAAACAGGAUUAGAUACCCUGGUAGUCCACGCCCUAAACGAUGAAUGUUAGUCGUCGGGAAGCUAGUCUUUUCGGUGAUGCAGCUAACGCAUUAAACAUUCCGCCUGGGGAGUACGGUCGCAAGAUUAAAACUCAAAGGAAUAGACGGGGACCCGCACAAGUGGUGGAGCAUGUGGUUUAAUUCGAAGAUACGCGAAGAACCUUACCUGGCCUUGACAUUGAUAGAAUCCUUUAGAGAUAGAGGAGUGCCCUUCGGGGAACUAGAAAACAGGUGCUGCACGGCUGUCGUCAGCUCGUGUCGUGAGAUGUUGGGUUAAGUCCCGCAACGAGCGCAACCCUCGUCACUAGUUACUAACGGUUCGGCCGAGGACUCUAGUGAGACUGCCUUCGCAAGGAGGAGGAAGGUGAGGACGACGUCAAGUCAUCAUGGCCCUUACGGCCAGGGCAACACACGUGCUACAAUGGUUAGGACAAUGAGACGCGAUACCGCGAGGUGGAGCAAAUCUAUAAACCUAAUCUCAGUUCGGGUUGUUCUCUGCAACUCGAGAGCAUGA